UACGUAGGGUCCGAGCGUUGUCCGGAAUUACUGGGCGUAAAGAGCUCGUAGGCGGUUUGUCGCGUCUGCUGUGAAAACGCGAGGCUCAACCUCGCGCCUGCAGUGGGUACGGGCAGACUAGAGUGCGGUAGGGGAGAUUGGAAUUCCUGGUGUAGCGGUGGAAUGCGCAGAUAUCAGGAGGAACACCAACAGCGAAGGCAGAUCUCUGGGCCGUAACUGACGCUGAGGAGCGAAAGCGUGGGGAGCGAACAGG
rnacentral:rRNA from 1 species